rnacentral:rRNA from 1 species
UACGUAGGGUGCAAGCGUUGUCCGGAAUUAUUGGGCGUAAAGAGCUCGUAGGCGGUUUGUCGCGUCUGCUGUGAAAACCCGAGGCUCAACCUCGGGCCUGCAGUGGGUACGGGCAGACUAGAGUGCGGUAGGGGAGACUGGAAUUCCUGGUGUAGCGGUGAAAUUCGUAGAUAUCAGGAGGAACACCGAUGGCGAAGGCAGGUCACUGGGCCGCAACUGACGCUGAGGAGGCGAAAGCAUGGGGAGCGA